rnacentral:rRNA from 1 species
CCUACGGGAGGCAGCAGUAGGGAAUUUUUCACAAUGGGCGAAAGCCUGAUGGAGCAACGCCGCGUGCAGGAUGAAGGCCUUCGGGUUGUAAACUGCUUUUAUAAGCGAGAAAUAUGAUGGUAACUUAUGAAUAAGGAUCGGCUAACUACGUGCCAGCAGCCGCGGUCAUACGUAGGAUCCGAGCAUUAUCCGGAGUGACUGGGUGUAAAGAGUUGCGUAGGUGGCAUAAUAAGUAGCUAGUGAAAUCUGGUGGCUCAACCAUUCAGACUAUUAGCUAAAAUGUUAAGCUCGAGACCGUUAGGGGUAACUGGAAUUUCUAGUGUAGGAGUGAAAUCCGUAGAUAUUAGAAGGAACACCAAUAGCGUAGGCAGGUUGCUGGGACGGUUCUGACACUAAGGCACGAAAGCGUAGGGAGCAAACGGGAUUAGAUACCCUAGUAGUC